UGAAAUGCAUGUUUGAAUGUGUUGCAAUGGAGGCGCAAUGUGAGCCAUUUCUGGGAAAAACCGAAUAACCAGCUUCAAUAAGGGUGAAAAUCCCAGUGGGCACUUGCGGACCUCUGUUUACGGUGUAAAUUUACAGAAUCACGCUCCUUGGAACUGGAGUGCAAAGCGGGUGGUAAAUCUCAUGCAAAGGUGAAUACAUCUAUGGGACUGAUAGAGGAAAAGUACCGCGAGGGAACUAUGAAAAGGACUUUGAAAAGAGAAUUAAAAAGAGCCUGCGCUUGCUGUAUGAAAAGCAUACAGAAUAGCAAAAGAUUUCGAAAGAUUGCUGCAUGGUCUUUUGAAUGACCCAUGCCCUUUUGAAGAUGGAGCUGCUGUGGUCUGCAUGUGUGUUGUGUGUGGAGGUUCUUUUUUUACGUGCCAGUUCCAGUUGCCAGAGAUAAAUUCUGGACGUAUUGUGAUGUGUGCCCCGAGGUUUGUCAUUGUGCGUACGUGAUGAUGUGUAGAUUGUUGAGGAGCUGGAUCCUGGUGGAGUUGUUGAAGGCUGCCCAUGCCCCUUUGCUGGAAGACUUGCAGAA
rnacentral:rRNA from 1 species